rnacentral:rRNA from 1 species
GGUGAACGCUAGCGGCAGGCCUAACACAUGCAAGUCGAGGGGUAACAUAGGAAAGCUUGCUUUUCUGAUGACGACCGGCGCACGGGUGCGUAACGCGUAUACAACCUACCUUUUAGCGGGGAAUAGCCCAGGGAAACUUGGAUUAAUGCCCCAUAGUAUAUAGACUUCUCCUGAAGUUUAUAUUAAACAUUUAUGGCUAUUAGAUGGGUAUGCGUCCUAUUAGUUAGUUGGUAAGGUAACGGCUUACCAAGGCAGCGAUAGGUAGGGGUCCUGAGAGGGAGAUCCCCACACUGGUACUGAGACACGGACCAGACUCCUACGGGAGGCAGCAGUGAGGAAUAUUGGACAAUGGGCGAGAGCCUGAUCCAGCCAUGCCGCGUGCAGGAAGACUGCCCUAUGGGUUGUAAACUGCUUUUACAGAGGAAGAACCACCCCCACGUGUGGGGGUUUGACGGUACUCUGCGAAUAAGGAUCGGCUAACUCCGUG